CAUGACUUGAUCUAACAGGAACAAACAGCCAACUGAAGGUUCCUACAAAGCCAAAGCAUAAUGACUUUGAUCUUCCCACUGAUUCUCAGCCUUUUUUUGAAGGGCAGCAGCUGCCAGCUUCGAUGUGUCAAAGAAAUUCUUGAUGACAAAGAGUUUUCAAUCAACAUGACUGGACAUAUUACAUUGCAGUCUGAUGAGUGCACCCGGAUCCCAUUCGAAUUGACCUUUCCAAAAAACAAAGUUACAACCCCAUAUAAAAAGAUUUGGUUUCAACAAGAUCCACAGGUGAAUGUAAAUAUAGAAGUUGUCAACAAUAUGGAAUCUGAGUCAAAAAACAGACUCAGAAUCAAUGGUCUACCACGUGGAGAGUAUGAGUAUGGCUUCAAAUUGGAAUGGGGCUGUAAUCAGACAUAUAUUUUUCCAAAAAGGCUUCGGAUCUCAG